rnacentral:rRNA from 1 species
ACCUUAGGACACGGCAAUAACAGCCGUUUGAUAGAAGUGAUGUGUACGCACCAAGCUUCGGCGAGGUGCUCAGCAUGCACUUACUAACGUCCAUAAAUUUGUGUGU